rnacentral:tRNA from 1 species
GGAGAGAUGGCUGAGUGGUUGAUAGCUCCGGUCUUGAAAACCGAUAUAGUGCGGAUAACUAUCGAGGGUUCGAAUCCCUCUCUCUCCC